GGGACUCAGCCCGGCCGACACGGCGAGCUUCAUGUCGAGGAAGGGUUAUUACGCCCUAAACGUCAUGGUCGUGUGCAACGCGGAACUUCGCAUUCUUGUUGUGGACCCCCGGUUCCCUGGUUCGUGCCAUGACUCUUGAGUGUGGCAGCAUAACCCACUGCGUGCACGCCUAGCCGCGCAACUGCAGCCUGGCGAGUAUCUGCUUGGAGACUCAGGAUAUCCUCUCGAGCCAUGGCUGCUUGUUCCAGUACCUGGCAGCCAUGCCGGCACCACCUCUGAAGGCCACUACAACCAGGAGCACGCAUCCAUGCGCAAUGUUGUGGAGAGAUGUAUCGGGGUGUUGAAAAGCAAGUUCCGCUGCUUGCAGCGCUUUCGGACACUGCUAUACAGCCUCGAUAGAGCAGCGCGAAUCAUUUAUGCAUGCGUUGCUCUCCAUAACAUUGCCUUGGACGCGGGCGACUGGACAUUGGACGAUUAUGGUGGGGAAGUGCCACCAGCUGAGGAGCCAGGAGACAUCCAGGUGCUGGCACCACACGACGUGUUCCUCAGAGGAAGGCAGCAGCGCAGCGCCGUUGUCAACCUUUUCUGAAGGACACAGAA
rnacentral:lncRNA from 1 species